UGUCCCAUUGUGAUGGGAUUUUCUUUCACAUCGCUAGAAAUAUCCAUCGACAGUAUUCACACGAACGGCAUUCCGCAGAAUACUCCAGCGGAAUAUUCAUAAAACGUCAUAGUUUUCUGAUGCCACGUGAGCGUGGGUGCUCAACGUCACGUCUUUUCGUGCUCUCUCAACUGCAGAGAAUGUCCUACGGCUCAGCCACAAGGUAUUCCGUGGCAGACGACAACUCAAUUGCAGACGACAGCGACGAUGGUGUCGCCUGCUAUGCUCCCGCCGCUAUGCGAAUGCUCAACAUGACACGGGGCGGAACUCAGAACGACAGCUGUGAAGGGCUCAAGUUCGUGAAGAUUGUGUCCCGUACGUCGCAUCGCCGAAACCAUUCUCCCCCUUGCAGCGAGAUAAAGCGAAGGAACUGGAAGAAGGGGCACGAUGCAGAUUGGUCAUUUCGGAGAGUCACGUUGGCUGUGACGUUGACGUCACGUGCCUCAGAGAAAAGGUGGCAGCGGUUGCAGCGGCGGCCGCUUGACAUGUCAGGGCGCGUACCGGCUUCUCGCCGCCGGCAGCAACAGAGGUUGCACGCAUCGGAACUUGACUGAGGGACACAGGAGAAGAAUUACGAGACAACGGGCGA